CUGUCGAUCUCCUUUAUGUAAUAC
rnacentral:snRNA from 1 species